CCUACGGGAGUCAGCAGUGAGGAAUAUUUGUCAAUGGACGAGAGUCUGAACCAGCCAAGUAGCGUGAAGGAUGACUGCCCUAUGGGUUGUAAACUUCUUUUAUAUGGGAAUAAAAUGUUCCACGUGUGGGAUUUUGUAUGUACCAUAUGAAUAAUGAUCGGCUAACUCCGUGCCAGCAGCCGCGGUAAGACGGAGGAUCCGAGCGUUAUCCGGAUUUAUUGGGUUUAAAGGGAGCGUAGGUGGAUUGUUAAGUCAGUUGUGAAAGUUUGCGGCUCAACCGUAAAAUUGCAGGUGAAACUGGCAGUCUUGAGUACAGUAGAGGUGGGCGGAAUUCGUGGUGUAGCGGUGAAAUGCUUAGAUAUCACGAAGAACUCCGAUUGCGAAGGCAGUUCACUGGACUGCAACUGACACUGAGGCUCGAAAGUGUGGGUAUCAAACAGGAUUAGAUACCCCGGUAGUC
rnacentral:rRNA from 1 species